GUGGGCGUAGCUCAGUUGGUCAGUAGCGCCAGGUUGUGGCCCUGGAGGUCAUGGGUUCGAGUCCCAUCGCUCACCCCA
rnacentral:tRNA from 1 species